CCUACGGGAGGCAGCAGUGGGGAAUUUUGGACAAUGGGCGAAAGCCUGAUCCAGCAAUGCCGCGUGAGUGAAGAAGGCCUUCGGGUUGUAAAGCUCUUUUGUCAGGGAAGAAACGGUGAGAGCUAAUAUCUCUUGCUAAUGACGGUACCUGAAGAAUAAGCACCGGCUAACUACGUGCCAGCAGCCGCGGUAAUACGUAGGGUGCAAGCGUUAAUCGGAAUUACUGGGCGUAAAGCGUGCGCAGGCGGUUUUGUAAGUCUGAUGUGAAAUCCCCGGGCUCAACCUGGGAAUUGCAUUGGAGACUGCAAGGCUAGAAUCUGGCAGAGGGGGGUAGAAUUCCACGUGUAGCAGUGAAAUGCGUAGAUAUGUGGAGGAACACCGAUGGCGAAGGCAGCCCCCUGGGUCAAGAUUGACGCUCAUGCACGAAAGCGUGGGGAGCAAACAGGAUUAGAUACCCUGGUAGUCCACGCCCUAAACGAUGUCUACUAGUUGUCGGGCCUUAAUUGACUUGGUAACGCAGCUAACGCGUGAAGUAGACCGCCUGGGGAGUACGGUCGCAAGNUUAAAACGUCAAAUGAAUGGACGGCUGAGACGNGCGAGGACGACGACGAGGGAGAGG
rnacentral:rRNA from 1 species